CCUACGGGUGGCAGCAGUGAGGAAUAUUGGUCAAUGGGCGAGAGCCUGAACCAGCCAAGUCGCGUGAGGGAGUACUGCCCUAUGGGUUGUAAACCUCUUUUGUCGGGGAGCAAAAGCCGGACGUGUCCGGCUGUGAGAGUACCCGAAGAAAAAGCCUCGGCUAACUCCGUGCCAGCAGCCGCGGUAAUACGGGGGAUGCGGGCGUUAACGGGAUUUAAUGGGUUUAAAGGGUGCGCAGGGGGAUUUUGAAGUCAGCGGGAAAAUCAUGGGGCUCAACCCCAUCCAGCCGUUGAAACUGGGGAUCUAGAGUGUGCGAGAGGUAGGCGGAAUGCGUGGUGUAGCGGUGAAAUGCAUAGAUAGCACGCAGAACCCCGAUUGCGAAGGCAGCAUACCGGUGCACAACUGACGCUCAGGCACGAAAGCGUGGGUAUCGAACAGGAUUAGAUACCCCAGUAGUC
rnacentral:rRNA from 1 species